rnacentral:rRNA from 1 species
GCGGAUCUCGAAAGCCUGUCCCAGUUCGGACUGGAGUCUGCAACCCGACUCCACGAAGUUGGAUUCGCUAGUAAUCGCGCAUCAGCCAUGGCGCGGUGAAUACGUUCCCGGGCCUUGUACACACCGCCCGUCAAGCCAUGGGAGCCGGGGGCGCCUGAAGUCCGGGACCGCGAGGACCGGCCUAGGGCGAAACUGGUAACUGGGGCUAAGUCGUAACAAGGUAGC